AAGUCGAACUCUGGAGAGCGGCAUCGGCUGAUCAAGAAGCACUAGCCAGAUGCCCACCGAAGGGGCGCGCGUUGGACGUCGGAUCAUCGGCGAACAGCGUGCAAUCUCUCAGGUACCGAGGACAGAGGGGUCAUG
rfam:Burkholderia glathei PML1(12) contig00161, whole genome shotgun sequence.